AGGGUAAUCACAAGGUAUGAAGCGGG
rnacentral:piRNA from 1 species